UUCUUUCUUUCUUUCUUUCUUUUCUUUUUACUUUCCACUCCUCUGCUCUGCUUCUAUUUUAAGGACUGAAAAUGAAGUAAGGAAUAAGAGAGUGAGAAGAGGGUAGGAGGACAAGAGAGGAUGCUGGAAGUACAGUUGGAAGCCAUUGAAGAAUUACAGGUGAUCGUGAUGGUUUGAAUUAUGGACUAAUUAAAAGAAGAACCAAUGAGACCAGACAUAAGGAGGGAAACUUAAGAAAAAAGAAAGAAGAAACAAGUCUUUUCCAAACUCUAUCAACCAGUGGUCAAAGAUAUGGGUGGUGACAAAGGAAGCAGUAUGAGGCUCAGAAGAACUAGUAAGUUUGCCUAAGACCACACAACCAGGCAAUGAAGAAGGAAGGAUCAGACCAGGUCUCCAACAUCAAUGUCCUGGAUGCUACAGCC